rnacentral:rRNA from 1 species
UUGGGAAUCUUCGGCAAUGGACGAAAGUCUGACCGAGCAACGCCGCGUGAGUGAAGAAGGUUUUCGGAUCGUAAAACUCUGUUGUUAGAGAAGAACAAUGACGUUAGUAACUGAACGUCCCCUGACGGUAUCUAACCAGAAAGCCACGGCUAACUACGUGCCAGCAGCCGCGGUAAUACGUAGGUGGCAAGCGUUGUCCGGAUUUAUUGGGCGUAAAGCGAGCGCAGGCGGUUUCUUAAGUCUGAUGUGAAAGCCCCCGGCGCAACCGGGGAGGGUCAUUGGAAACUGGGAGACUUGAGUGAAGAAGAGGCGAGUGGAAGUCCAUGUGUAGCGGUGAAAUGAGUAGAUAUAUGGAGGACCACCAGUGGCGAAGGCGGCUAUCUGGUCUGUAACUGACGCUGAGGCUCGAAAGCGUGGGGAGCAAACAGG